CAGUGGGAACAGAGAGAAAAAGACUGCCAGACGAAAAUGCUUUCCUCCCAGGCUCCCCCUGUGGCGGGAGCACCUCCACUGGUCACCUGGGGACCUGCGCUGAGCUCCCCACCUCUGCCUAUCAGGCUCCCAUCUCCUGCACCCUCUGCUCACCGGGGUUGUAAUUGUCUCUCAUCCCCUGCGGGGUUAUUUUGAGUAGGCACAAGGAGGGCAA